GACGAACGCUGGCGGCGUGCUUAACACAUGCAAGUCGAACGGAAAGGCCCUGCUUUUGUGGGGUGCUCGAGUGGCGAACGGGUGAGUAACACGUGAGUAACCUGCCCUUGACUUUGGGAUAACUUCAGGAAACUGGGGCUAAUACCGGAUAGGAGCUCCUGCUGCAUGGUGGGGGUUGGAAAGUUUCGGCGGUUGGGGCUGGACUCGCGGCUUAUCAGCUUGUUGGUGGGGUAGUGGCUUACCAAGGCUUUGACGGGUAGCCGGCCUGGGAGGGUGACCGGCCCCAUUGGGACUGAGAUACGGCGCAGACUCCUACGGGAGGCAGCGGUGGGGAAUAUUGCAAAAUGGGCGGAAGCCUGAUGCAGCAACGCCGCGUGCGGGAUGACGGCCUUCGGGUUGUGAACCGAUUUCGCCUGUGACGAAGCGUGAGUGACGGUAAUGGGUAAAGAAGCACCGGCUAACUACGUG
rnacentral:rRNA from 1 species